UACGGAGGGGGCAAGCGUUAUCCGGAUUUACUGGGUGUAAAGGGAGCGUAGACGGCAGCGCAAGUCUGGAGUGAAAUGCCGGGGCCCAACCCCGGAACUGCUCUGGAAACUGUGAAGCUGGAGUGCAGGAGAGGUAAGCGGAAUUCCUGGUGUAGCGGUGAAAUGCGUAGAUAUCGAGAGGAACACUCGUGGCGAAGGCGGGUUCCUGGACAUUAACUGACGCUGAGGCACGAAGGCCAGGGGAGCGAAAGGG
rnacentral:rRNA from 1 species